GUUGUAGAAGAACAUUGGAACAGAGUUGAAGUGUUGCUGUGCUAAGAAACGCUGACUCGUAACUUUUCACAUUUUGUUGCUUUCCUUCUUUGGUUCUCUCCGUCCACCACUUUCUGUUGUUGUUGGUAUUGUUUUUUCUGCUGCUGCUGCUAGCUUCAGAUCUGCAUCUGAUUGUUACUCUUCUUCGAAAGUUUUUCGUCAGAGAAUUUGGAAGCUGAUACACCGGAUUGGAGAUGCCGGUGGCUGCUUCCGCUAUAUACUUCUUGAACCUCCGCGGCGACGUUCUCAUCAAUCGCCUCUACCGAGACGAUGUUGGGGGAAAUAUGGUUGAUGCUUUUCGGACACAUAUAAUGCAAACAAAAGAACUUGGUACUUGUCCUGUGAGGCAGAUUGGUGGCUGCUCUUUCUUUUACAUGAGGAUCAGCAAUGUUUACGUCGUGAUUGUUGUCAGCAGCAAUGCUAAUGUAGCUUGCGCUUUCAAGUUUGUUGUUGAGGCAGUUGCACUAUUUAAAUCAUAUUUUGGCGGUGCCUUUGAUGAAGAUGCAAUUCGCAAUAAUUUUGUACUUAUUUAUGAGCUCCUAGAUGAAAUCAUGGAUUUUGGUUAUCCUCAAAAUCUUUCUCCAGAAAUCUUAAAGCUUUAUAUCACUCAGGAAGGAGUGCGUUCCCCAUUUUCAUCCAAGCCUUUAGAUAGACCUGUUCCAAAUGCAACUUUACAAGUUACUGGUGCUGUUGGUUGGCGGAGAGAAGGCCUUGUAUACAAAAAGAACGAGGUCUUCUUGGAUAUUGUGGAGAGCGUGAAUCUUCUUAUGUCUUCAAAGGGUGUUGUUCUACGCUGUGAUGUUACGGGGAAGAUUCUUAUGAAGUGCUUUCUUUCUGGAAUGCCUGAUUUGAAGUUGGGUCUGAAUGACAAGAUUGGCCUCGAGAAAGAGUCAGAAAUUAAAUCUCGUCCUACUAAAAGUGGUAAAACUAUUGAGCUUGAUGAUGUAACUUUCCAUCAAUGUGUAAAUCUGACAAGGUUCAACUCAGAGAAGACAGUUAGUUUUGUGCCACCUGAUGGUGAAUUUGAACUAAUGAAAUAUCGUAUCACCGAGGGUGUUAAUCUUCCCUUCAAAGUAUUGCCCACUAUCAAGGAACUUGGUCGAACAAGGAUGGAAGUAAAUGUUAAGGUAAAGAGUGUCUUUGGCGCAAAGAUGUUUGCACUAGGGGUUGUUGUCAAAAUUCCUGUGCCGAAACAAACAGCAAAAACGAGUUUCACAGUCACAUCUGGUCGAGCAAAAUAUAAUGCAGCUAUUGAUUGUUUGGUUUGGAAGUAAGAGUCUCACUUUGUUAUGAUUACUAUGUGAAACAAAGUGGUUUUCCGACCCUAAUUCAGCAUCUUGAGUAACCUAAAUACUAAGAAAAUUUCCUGGGCAAACUGAGCCGACCUUGAGUGCAGAAGUUGAACUUAUUUCCACGAUGACAGAAAAGAAAUCUUGGACUAGACCGCCAAUUCAGAUGGAGUUUCAGGUUCCCAUGUUCACGGCAUCUGGUUUACGUGUCCGUUUUCUAAAGGUGUGGGAAAAGAGUGGAUACAACACUGUUGAGUGGGUUCGGUAUAUAACAAAGGCAGGAUCGUACGAGGUAAGGUGCUAGUCGUCACAUGGAAAAACAUCAGAUUAAUGGGUGGAGAUGGAAGCAAAUCCAAAUGCAGUUACCAGUUAUAGCUUGAGUUUCUUCUUAGCAUCAUCACAUAGAGUGCCGUCAAAUGAUUGUGGUUGUGAAAAAUGAGUCAAAGGCCAGGUUGUUCAUGUAAACUCUUAAUUGAUCCCAUCUCCCUUGUACACAUUGUAUUUUAUUUUAAUGAUAGUGGCGCGUUCAGUAGUUGUUUUUUUCGCGCUAAAUGUAGGCAUUGAAAAGAUAAAUAUGUGGAGACACUACUUGUAAGUAUGUGAUGAUUCGUUGCUUCAAGGGAAGAAAUCAUAUUUGAGAUAA